AAAGGUUGGCAAAUCGAGUAUACAUGCAGUCGAGCGAAUGGAUUAAGAGCUUGCUCUUAUGAAGUUAGCGGCGGACGGGUGAGUAACACGUGGGUAACCUGCCCAUAAGACUGGGAUAACUCCGGGAAACCGGGGCUAAUACCGGAUAAUAUUUUGAACUGCAUGGUUCGAAAUUGAAAGGCGGCUUCGGCUGUCACUUAUGGAUGGACCCGCGUCGCAUUAGCUAGUUGGUGAGGUAACGGCUCACCAAGGCAACGAUGCGUAGCCGACCUGAGAGGGUGAUCGGCCACACUGGGACUGAGACACGGCCCAGACUCCUACGGGAGGCAGCAGUAGGGAAUCUUCCGCAAUGGACGAAAGUCUGACGGAGCAACGCCGCGUGAGUGAUGAAGGCUUUCGGGUCAUAAAACUCUGUUGUAAGGGAAGAACAAGUGCUAUUUGAAUAAGCUGGCACCUUGACGGUACCUAACCAGAAAGCCACCGAUAACUACGUGCCAAAAGCCGAAAUACAU
rnacentral:rRNA from 1 species